rnacentral:lncRNA from 1 species
GUUCAAAUUAAUGUUUUCACUUUUUAUCACUUUAUGCUCCUUAGGACAAUGCAUUUUCAAUUAUGUGGAAUAUGGAUAUUACUCACGUGAAACAAGACAUUUACUGCAUGAGUCUGUUAAAGUUGAUUGUUAUCCUGGCUAUAGUCUUUCAAAUGGUCAAAACACAGUUACAUGUACAGAGAAUGGCUGGUCCCCUCCUCUCAAAUGCAUUCGGAUUAGUAAGUAAAAUGCUCUGAUAUCUAUACUCGUGAUUUUUUAAAGGCCCAUCUACAUUAAACUGGGGCAAAAUAUUUAUAAAAAUUUGUUUCCAUGUUUCAUGUAAAAGUGGAAAUCAAAAUUUAUUGAUAAGUAUGUGGCAAAAUAAGUUCACCUUAGUAAACAGUAUUCAAGAAUAUAGUAAAGAAUUUGAAUACAGGGGCUGGGGCUGUAGCUCAGUAGUGGAGCACCUGCCUUGCAUGUGUGAAGCCCUGGGUUUGAUCCUAAGCACCAUAUAAAGAAUAAUAAAUAAAGGUAUUGUGUCCAUAUACAACUAGAAAAUAUAUUUAAAAAAGAAUUUGAAUACAAUAUUUUUUGUUUAAUUAAGUCAUAUGCAUAUACUUUGAAAUUAAUCAUUUGACUCAAAAUUAUUAAAAAAUUAUGUUAUAGAUAAAAAAUGAAUACAAUGAGAGUAAAAGAUGUCAGUCAAGAAGUGAUGGGGUAUUUUUGCAGUAUUGCCCUUUGUCUCUGAGUAUUUCUGGGAC